rnacentral:pre_miRNA from 14 species
CGAGAGAGUGUGUGUGUGUGUGUGUGUGUACACACAGGCUUCUGUCUCCUGCACACACACAAAGGCAGGCACACA